rnacentral:lncRNA from 1 species
GCAGUGGAUCUCUGUUCAGAGAGGGAGGAGGAGAGAGAAGGAGGGAGGGAAGAAAGGAGAGAGGGAGAGAGCCAGAAAACAGAGCAAGAUAAAGGAAGAGAAUGCACCUGAAAUAGACACAAGGAUAAAUGGAUCAAGGAGAGAGGAGAAACAGAUAAUCACAACAGCGAAUAUUUGUUAAAUGCAUGCUCUUUGCCAGACCUGUCAGAUUCUCUGUCUUCAGGAUUCCAGGUGAUUCAUCUGCCUUCAAAGCUACCCCAGUCCUGCUUGACCCUUCCAGGACUCUCAACUGUGAUUUUUGGCUAGAACAAGAAGCAGAAGCUUGACACUAUAGAAAGAGUUUUCAAUCAGGAAGACCUGGGUUCAAAUCCCAGCAGUACUUCUAAGUAUCUACUCAAGAGAAGCACUUACCUGCAUGCAGUAUGGGUCGUGCAUGCAAAUUUUCACUGCAAAACUGCCUUUUAUAAUUAAAGACAAUUGAAGUCAACCUCAGGGUGUAUCAAUAGGGGAAAGAAUAAAUAGGAUAUGGUUUAUAUGAUGGAGUAAAACACAGCCCUCAAAGGAAUGAAUUGACAUCAGUUGGAGAGGUGGAUCUCAAAGACACAUAUUGUUGAAUAAAAAAUAUGAGUUGUUGAGAAAUCCAUUUAAAAGGAUACCAUUUCUGUAAAAAAAUCACAGCAAAUGCCAUGUAUUUUAUGGAUACAUUUAUGUGCAUGUAAAGUAAUAAAAAGAGGUCUAGAAGAACAGGAAUGACAUUCAUAAUGCUAUCUGAGGCGGAAGUCAAAGGGACUUUAUCUGCACUGUUCUAAUUUUCUAAAAGGCAAAUGAACUGAUUUAUUAUAAGAAGAAAAACUCUGCCAGUGUGACCUUUGAAAAAUAAUAUACACUUUUCUGGCCAGGCACGGUGGCUCACGCCUGUAAUCUUAGCACUUUGGGAGGCCGAGGUGGGUGGAUCACGAGGUCAAGAGAUCGAGACAAUCCUGGCCGACAUGGUGAAACCCCGUCUCUACUAAAAAUACAAAAAUUAGCUGGGCAUGGUGGUGUGCGCCUGUAGUCCGAGCUACUCGGGGGGCUGAGGCCGGAGAAUCGCUUGAACCCGGGAUGUGGAGGUUGCAUUGAGCCGAGACUGCACCACUGUACUCCAGCCUGGUGACAGAGCACGACUCCAUCUCAAUAAAUAAAUAAAUAAAC